GAUGAACGCUGGCGGCGUGCCUAACACAUGCAAGUCGAACGAAGGUAUAUAUAGGAAGUCUUCGGAUGGAAUAUGUAUAACUUAGUGGCGGACGGGUGAGUAACGCGUAAGUAAUCAACCUGUGACACACGGAUAACUGAUAGAAAUGUCAGCUAAUACGAGAUAAACUGUUUAAAUUGGGAAAUGGAAACAGCAAAGCGAAAGCGGUCACAGACGAGCUUGCGUCUGAUUAGCUAGUUGGUGGGGUAAGAGCCUACCAAGGCGACGAUCAGUAGCCGGCCUGAGAGGGUGAACGGCCACAUUGGAACUGAGACACGGUCCAAACUCCUACGGGAGGCAGCAGUGGGGGAUAUUGCACAAUGGGGGGAACCCUGAUGCAGCAACGCCGCGUGAGUGAAGAAGGCCCUAGGGUCGUAAAGCUCUGUCGUAUGGGAAGAAACAAAGGACUGUACCAUAC
rnacentral:rRNA from 1 species